AUUAAAUAUUCGAUGGGAUAAGCUUUUGAUUAGAGAUUUUAUAAUAAUAAUAGUAUUUUAUAUUUUGUAUAAUUUUAAUUGUUAAUCAUUUAUAAUUUAAUAGUUAUGUAUAAAAAUUUAAGAUUUAUUUUUAAUUUAAAUUUUUUAUUAAAAUUAAUUAUUUAAUUUAUUAUUAUUUGUAAUCUAUGAUUAAAUUAGUAAUAUGAUUAUUUAUUUUGUUUAAUAAUUUUAGGUUAAAUAAAGGAAUUCGGCAAUAUAAUUUUUCGCCUGUUUAUUAAAAACAUGUCCUUUUGAAAUUAAUUUAAGGUUUGAUCUGCUCAAUGAUAAUUUAAAUAGCCGCAGUAUUUUGACUGUGCAAAGGUAGCGUGAUAAUUAGUUUUUUAAUUGAAAACUUGUAUGAAUGAUUUGACGAGAAAAUUUCUGUCUCUAUUUAAUUUUUUAUGAAUUUAAUUUUUAAGUUAAAAAGCUUAAAUAAUUAUAAAAGACGAGAAGACCCCAUAGAGUUUUAUUUUUUCUUAUUAUUUAGAAUUAUUUUAAUCUGAGAAAAAUUAGUUGGGGUGACUGAAAAAUUUAAUUAACUUUUUUAAUUUAAAUCAUUGAUCUAUGAAUAAAAAAUCUAUUUUUCUAAUUUUAAAUAAAGUUACCUUGGGGAUAACAGAGUAAUUUCUCUUAGAGUUCUUAUCAAAGGAGAAGAUUGCUACCUCGAUGUUGGAUUAAAAUUUAAUUUAGGUGUAGAAGCUUAAAUUUUAAGUCUGUUCGCC
rnacentral:rRNA from 1 species